GCUGUAGAGUGUUUGCCAUAUAGACCUUCCAACGUUUAGCCCAUUAUUCCUUUCUUUAGGGUCAAUACAGCUUCCACAUUCAUAGCACAGGACACUGUGGACACAGACGUGAAGAGGUAUUCUUGGAGUGCAAUGCUUUCUACCCAGGGCUCAGCAUGCUACUGCAACAUCAAGGAAUAAUACUCACUAUUUCAAGAUAACUCUUCUGAUUUUCAGAAAUUUUGCUUUUCUGAGGGGUGAAAAAUUUGAAACUCUUCUGUUAAAAUAUACAUUGAAAAGUCACAAUAGCACAAAGAUUUCUCUUGCUUUGAAAUGCUGGACAAGUAGUCCCUAGCAUUUUGGGAAGCACAGUCCACAGACUGAGAUGCAAAAGUCCUAAAUCACAACAAAGUUACUUUGUAACAUAUUGGGUGCAAAGAAGAGGAAGACAGGCUCUUUUCAGUGGCAACGGGCACAAACUAAAAC
rnacentral:lncRNA from 1 species